CGAGCACGCGCGUGUGGCAUAUCAAUAAGCGGAGGAAAAGAAACUAACAAGGAUUCCCUUAGUAACGGCGAGUGAAGCGGGAAGAGCUCAAAUUUGAAAUCUUCAAGGUUCUACCUUGACGAAUUGUAGUUUAUAGAAGUGUUUUCUGUUAGUGGAGUGGCAAAAGUUCUUUGGAAUAGGACAUCAUAGAGGGUGAGAAUCCCGUAUUUGGUCAUUCCUCCUAGCGUUGUGAUACACUUUCAACGAGUCGGAUUGUUUGGGAAUGCAGUCCAAAAUGGGUGGUAAAUUUCAUCUAAAGCUAAAUAUUGGCGAGAGACCGAUAGCGAACAAGUACCGUGAGGGAAAGAUGAAAAGAACUUUGAAAAGAGAGUUAAACAGUACGUGAAAUCGUCAAAAGGGAAGCGUUUGACACCAGUGUUGUUUAGUCCGAAAAUCAAUUACAAUAUUUUUCGAUUUUAAGUAGUUAUGACCUUCAUCAGCUUGCUGCUUUCUUUACGGAAACUUAUCUUAAUGCACUUUUCAGUUAACAAGUCGACAUCAAUUUCUUUUGUUGUAAAAGGUAAUGAGGAAGGUGGCUUGCGCUUUCGGAUAAAGUGUUUAUAGCCUUUUACCUCUGCAAUCGGAGAGAUUGAGGUCUGCAGCGUAGAUCCUUCGGGGUUAGAUACGUUUGUGCUAAGUUAUAGCCUUUCAUAGACAACAUUGUUGACUAUGAUUUAAUCAUUGUAGCUUACUCGCUUAUGCUAUUUUACCUACGCUUAGGAUGUUGAACUCUAUCACACACAG
rnacentral:rRNA from 1 species